rnacentral:rRNA from 1 species
AUUGAACGCUGGCGGCAGGCCUAACACAUGCAAGUCGAACGAGUGGCGGACGGGUGAGUAAUGUCUGGGAAACUUCCUGAUGGAGGGGGAUCACUACUGGAAACGGUAGCUAAUACCGCAUACCAUCGGAUUUGCCCAGAUGGGAUUAGCUAGUAGGUGGGGUAAAGGCUCACCUAGGCGACGAUCCCUAGCUGGUCUGAGAGGAUGACCGGCAAAACUGGAACGUGGAACCGGUCCAGACUCCUAGGGGAGGCAGCAGUGGGGAAUAUCGCACAAUGGGCGCAAGCCUGAUGCAGCCAUGCCGCGUGUAUGAAGAAGGCCUUCGGGUUGUAAAGUACUUUCAGCGGGGAGGCGUUACCCGCAGAAGAAGCACCGGCUAACUCCGUGCCAGCCGCCGCGGUAAUAC